rnacentral:lncRNA from 1 species
AAAACCUUGUAACUCGGCCUGAAACUCGUCGGAACAAAACCCACCAAGUCGAAGCUUCCAAGUUGCUCCGCGUUGACCAUUCAAAACUCAACCAACUCGUGAUCAGUUGGUACGGUUGUGUUCGUGAAGUCGAGUAGAGCACGAUGGUGGUGGUCACUGGUUCGAUUUGUGAAGAUUUGGUGUUGUUAUUCUUUGUUGCAG